UACUCCCUCCCCCAUCGAUCACUCAUCAGCGCUGUACGGCUCUGGGCAGUUCGUUUCCUUUGAAAAUAAGGAAUACCCAUGACGUCACUUGAAGAAAUUUCCUCUGGUACUUGCUAUGGUCAAUUGUGGGUUCUUCUUUUAAUGGGACUUCUAAUGCGGAGGCCACCCUUAUUAUGCCAUUUGUGAAAGAUAUGCUGAUAUUGGUACAAUGAGAUCUUCUUUCAGUUGUUUGGUAGGAUACAAGAGGGUUCUAAUUGAUGUUGAUGGAAUUACUAGGACGACUAGGGAAAUUCAAGUCCCUUAAUGACCCAUUCACCAGAUGAAUCCUAAGGUGCCCCACAUAGAGCUCAAUUGUUGUCGAAUUCUUUGUUGCAAUAGAAGCAUGUUUUAGUAUUUACAUGUUUCUUUGCAUCUUCUCUAGCCGAAUGAAAAUUCAUGGUAGAACUUGA